rnacentral:rRNA from 1 species
CGAAUUCUCUUUGACUAGAGAUCCAAAGCGGGUGCGAGACCCGUACGUGUUGCCGGUUUGUCGUACGCGUUUGCUUCUUGGAGUAGGGUUGUUUGAGAUCGCAGCCCAAAGUAGGUGGUAUACUUCAUCUAAAGCUAAAUACGACUACGAAUCCGAUAGCAAACAAGUACCGUGAGGGAAAGUUGCAAAGUACUUUGAAGAGAGAGUUCAAGAGGACGUGAAACCGAUAGGAUGGAAGCAGAUGAAGUUGACGAACGAGUGUCGUAUUCAGGGUUGCAUCUUGUGUGCAGUCUGUUCUUGCGGCCGAUGUGGGCUGGCGGCUCUGGUCAAUGUGCUGUGUCAAGCGUCGAUGGUGACCCUGCGGAGGGAUAAUCAGUCGGUCGUACGAUGCGUAGUAUGGCUAGAGUUUCGCCGGUCUUGAAGUCAGCGCCUCAUCUGACCCGUCUUGAAACACGGACCAAGGAGUGUAGCGUUUACGCAAGUCUUAGAGUGUGUCAAAACUUUGAGGCGCAACGAAAGUGAAUGCAGUUUAAUCUGCUGACUUGGGAUGCGUUGUCUCCUGUGGACGGCGCUGGACCAAGGUUAUAUCGCGAUCGCUUGCGAUGCGGUGUAAAUAGAGCGUAAGCGGUGCGA